rnacentral:sRNA from 1 species
CUAUCUGGCCAGGCAUCGGAACGCCUGGCCCAGCCGCGACCAGCAUGCAUGUAUCCUGCGUAUCACUCCGUUGGCUGUGGCGGAGAUGAUGCUGAUGGAGAGGAUGGGGAUGGGGAUGAUGAUGCCGGUGAUUUUUAGUGUGCUUCCUAGGGCUGGUGCUGGCUGUUCCUGGCCGUUCCUGGGCCGUUCCUGGCUUGUUUCACGCGGCGGCCAGCCUAUCAGCGCCGGCUGCAGCCCGCAUCUCUUGGCUCAUUUCGCAUGUUUUCAUUUCCUGGGCAGAUUGAAUGGGGAACGACGCUGGCUUGUCGCUGUGUAGCCGUCGCUGGCUCUGGCUCUGGCUCUGUCGCUGGUGCCUUUGUCCUUCUGCUUGUUCUCCCUCUCCCUCUUCCUCUUCCUCUUCUUUCUCUCCUCUCUCACACUCUCCUUUAAAUAUCAACCUUCCUUCCGCCGUCUCUCUUUCGGCUUCUUCCCUGCCUGUCAUCCCGCCUUGUCUUCUUCGCUUGUCUAUCCUUGCUUGUUGCUGUGCACUUUUCGCUCCUUCAAAGUGUGUCUGCCAGCUUGCUGUUCCUGUCGCUCCUUUCGGUGCCAGAAUCCUGUAUACACUCUCUCGCUCUCCCUCCCCUCUCACUCUCUGUUCGGUCUGCCUUGGUCAGAUUCUGAUAACACCCCCCCCCAACUUCCAACUCUCCCUCUCACUCACUAUCCCCCCACUCACUCACAGUUGAUCUGUGCGUGAAAGGCAAAAGAAAAAAGAAGGAAUCACAGUCGAACACAAAAACAAUCGAGAGAUUCGCCAAGUUAUCUCUGUCGCGUCCUUCGUUUGUUCAACAGUUUCUUCUUCUGUUUCCCAUUUUUACCCCUGAUUGUCCUGGCUGAUAUUCCAAUCCCGGCGACGACGACUUGACGACGACGUCCCCACGACCCCUGACAAUAUUAUCUUGGAUAUCUCUUCCUAUUGCGGUAGAAGAGAUAAGAAAAACAAACCCAAAAAGACAAGUUUUAUCAAAGAAGCUCGAGAAAGGGAUUUAUUUGUUAUUUACAUCAAGAUAACCAUGCGAUCCUCCGUCCUUCUAUCUGCCCUCUGGGCCGCUGGCGCGCUCUCCUCCCCGCUGAUGCCCAGAGCCUACGUGACCGAUGUCACCAUCGUCACUGUCACCGAAUACGUAACUGCCGGCGCCGUCACUCCCACGCCAACUCCAACUCCAGUUCCCUCUCCUCCCCCAAAGGAUGAGGGCUCAUAUCCUACUCCAGAAUCUGAGCCCCAGCCCCAGCCCCAGGCCCAGUCCAAGCCCAAGCCCAAGCCGCAACCAAAACCACAGCCAAAACCAGAGCCAAAACCACAACCCAAGCCUCAACCAGGCCCCGGCAAUGACUACCAGUCCAAGGUGCUCUACCACCACAACAUCCAUCGCUCCAACCACUCCGCCAAUGCGCUCGGUUGGUCCAGCACCCUCGCUGGCUACGCUCAGCAGAUUGCCUCCAAAUGCGUCUUCGAGCAUGAUACCUCCGUCGGCACCGAAUCCUACGGCCAAAACAUCGGCUACGGCGUCACGCCCGAGGAAAUUGGCAAGAUGAUUACCAACAUGAUGUACAACGACGAGGCCGGCCUGUACGCGGGCCUCUACGGCCAGGCCAACCCAGACAUGAGCAAUUUCCAUCACUGGGGCCAUUUCAGCCAGAUCGUGUGGAAGGACACUAAUACCGUCGGCUGCGCUACCGUCAAGUGCUCCAACAAUCUGCGCUGGAAUACCGUUUGCAACUAUGGACCCCCUGGCAACUUCGGCGGCAGAUAUGCUCAGAAUGUCGGCCGACCACAAGGUGCUGCGAUGGCUGUUGCGUAGUUUUUCGCUUCACUUCAUUUUCACUUUGCUUUCUUGCUUGCUACGCUUGCAACUGGUGUUUUUUUUAACUUCUUUAAAUCCGCUUCCUUCUACUUGAUUUAUUUACGUCUUCGUUUCCUUUCUCCUUUCGCUUUCUGUGAAUAAAAUAUUUGUAGUAGCGGUUUUAUUUUAAACUCGGGGGUGGUGCCGGUGGAGGGGGUGUUUGAUGUGUAUUCGUGUGCAUAUAUGUAUGGUAUGUAUGUAUGUAUCUAAGGGGCUGGCCAACACAUCCACAUAUACAAGUCAAACCCCUUUUCCUCCAGAGGAUCCCCCGACUCUCGACACCAGUGCAGUCAAGUCAAAGCCAGUCCCGUUCGUCCAGAUCCAAGCUUAUAAGAUCCAACAAUCCAAUCUACAUUUACGGUUUACGAUCUACGAUUCCUAUCGUUCAUCGACUCACUGCGACUGUGACAAACGAUUUGUUUUAUAUUCUAUUACUUAUUUUAUUCUUUUAUCCUUCUUUACGUGACUUAUAUUUUCACAGUAUAACUAGUUAUCUUCUCAGCUUGUAUUUAACAUAUCAUUUACUUAGUUACAUCUAUCUAUCUAUACAUCUUCCCCUCCCUG